rnacentral:rRNA from 1 species
AUUGAACGCUGGCGGCAGGCCUAACACAUGCAAGUCGAACGAGUUGCGAACGGGUGAGUAACGCGUGGUAACCUGCCUCAUAGCGGGGGAUAACUAUUGGAAACGAUAGCUAAUACCGCAUACCAUCAGAUGUGCCUAGAUGGGAUUAGCUAGUUGGUGGGGUAACGGCUCACCAAGGCGACGAUCCCUAGCUGGUCUGAGAGGAUGACCAGCCACACUGGAACUGAGACACGGUCCAGACUCCUACGGGAGGCAGCAGUGGGGAAUAUUGCACAAUGGGCGCAAGCCUGAUGCAGCCAUGCCGCGUGUAUGAAGAAGGCCUUCGGGUUGUAAAGUACUUUCAGCGGGGAGGCGUUACCCGCAGAAGAAGCACCGGCUAACUCCGUGCCAGCAGCCGCGGUAAUUC